GUUGUAUAGUCAAGUAAUGAAGUGCACAUGGUGGAUGCCUUGGCAGUCAGAGGCGAUGAAAGACGUGACAGCCUGCGAAAAGCGUCGGGGAGGCGGCAAUAUCCUGUGAUCCGGCGAUAUCUGAAUGGGGAAACCCACUUGUCAUAAGACAGGUAUCGUAAAUUUAUUUACGAGGCAAACCGGGAGAAGUGAAACAUCUCAGUAACCCGAGGAAAAGACAUCAAUAGAGAUUCCCCUAGUAGCGGCGAGCGAACGGGGAGGAGCCGACUGAUUAUAAUUUAGAGGAAUGACUUGGAAAGGUCAAUCGUAGAGGGUGAUAAUCCCGUACUCGAAAGGUUAUAAGAAGCAUAUUAAGUAGGGCGGAACACGAGAAAUUCUGUCUGAAGAUGGGGGGACCAUCCUCCAAGGCUAAAUACUCCUGACUGACCGAUAGUGAACCAGUACCGUGAGGGAAAGGCGAAAAGAACCCCUGUGAGGGGAGUGAAAUAGAACCUGAAACCGUGUGCAUACAAGCAGUCGGAGCGGACAUGUUCCGUGACGGCGUACCUUUUGUAUAAUGGGUCAGCGACUUAUAUUCUGUAGCAAGGUUAACCGAAUAGGGGAGCCGUAGGGAAACCGAGUCUUAAUAGGGCGUCUAGUUGCAGGGUAUAGACCCGAAACCGAGUGAUCUAUCCAUGAGCAGGUUGAAAGUGACGUAACAGUUACCGGAGGACCGAACCCACUGUCGUUGAAAAGCCAGGGGAUGACUUGUGGAUAGGGGUGAAAGGCUAAUCAAACUCGGUGAUAGCUGGUUCUCCCCGAAAGCUAUUUAGGUAGCGCCUCGGACGAACACCAUUGGGGGUAGAGCACUGUUUCGGCUAGGGGGUCAUCUCGACUUACCAAACCGAUGCAAACUCCGAAUACCGAUGAGUGAUAUCCGGGAGACAGACGGCGGGUGCUAACGUCCGUCGUCAAGAGGGAAACAACCCAGACCGCCAGCUAAGGCCCCAAAUUCCUAGUUAAGUGGGAAACGAUGUGGGAAGGCACAGACAGCUAGGAGGUUGGCUUAGAAGCAGCCACCCUUUAAAGAAAGCGUAAUAGCUCACUAGUCGAGUCGGCCUGCGCGGAAGAUGUAACGGGGCUCAAACUAGGAGCCGAAGCUGCGGAUUUAAUUGUUUCAAUUAAGUGGUAGGGGAGCAUUGUGUAAGCCUGUGAAGGUGUGUUGUAAAGCAUGCUGGAGGUAUCACAAGAGCGAAUGCUGACGUGAGUAACGACAAAACGGGUGAAAAGCCCGUUCGCCGGAAGACCAAGGGUUCCAGUCCAACGUUAAUCGGGGCUGGGUGAGUCGACCCCUAAGGCGAGGCCGAAAGGCGUAGUCGAUGGGAAAUCGGUUAAUAUUCCGAUACUUGUUUAUGAUGCGAUGGAGGGACGGAGAAGGUUAUGCCAGCUUGGCGAUGGUUGUCCAAGUGGAAGGAUGUAGUUAGGUUUAGUAGGCAAAUCCGCUAGACUAUUAAUGAGAUCUGAUAGCAAGCUGUACUUGUACAGCGAAGUGGCAAAUACCCUGCUUCCAGGAAAAGCUUCUAAGCGAUAGUCAUAAAGAAAUCGUACCCUAAACCGACACAGGUGGUCAGGUAGAGAAUACCAAGGCGCUUGAGAGAACUCUGCUGAAGGAACUAGGCAAAAUGGUACCGUAACUUCGGGAGAAGGUACGCUGCCGAUGGUGAGUAGUCACGCACUACAAAGCUAUUGGCAGUCGCAGAUACCAGGCCGCUGCAACUGUUUAUUAAAAACACAGCACUCUGCAAACACGAAAGUGGACGUAUAGGGUGUGAUGCCUGCCCGGUGCUGGAAGGUUAAUUGAUGGGGUUAGCGUAAGCGAAGCUCUUGAUCGAAGCCCCAGUAAACGGCGGCCGUAACUAUAACGGUCCUAAGGUAGCGAAAUUCCUUGUCGGGUAAGUUCCGACCUGCACGAAUGGCAUAAUGAUGGCGGCGCUGUCUCCAGCAGAGACUCAGUGAAAUCGAAAUCGCAGUGAAGAUGCUGUGUACCCGCGGCUAGACGGAAAGACCCCGUGAACCUUUACUACAGCUUUACAUUGAACUUUGACCUUACCUGUGUAGGAUAGGUGGGAGGCUUUGAAGCAGGCACGCCAGUGUCUGUGGAGCCAUCCUUGAAAUACCACCCUGGUAAUGUUGGGGUUCUAACUCAAGCUUAACAGAGCUGAGGACAAUGUAUGGUGGGUAGUUUGACUGGGGCGGUCUCCUCCUAAAGAGUAACGGAGGAGUACGAAGGUGCGCUCAGAACGGUCGGAAAUCGUUCGAAGAGUAUAAAGGCAAAAGCGCGCUUAACUGCGAGACCCACAAGUCGAGCAGAUACGAAAGUAGGUCUUAGUGAUCCGGUGGUUCUGUAUGGAAGGGCCAUCGCUCAACGGAUAAAAGGUACUCUGGGGAUAACAGGCUGAUACCGCCCAAGAGUUCAUAUCGACGGCGGUGUUUGGCACCUCGAUGUCGGCUCAUCUCAUCCUGGGGCUGAAGCAGGUCCCAAGGGUAUGGCUGUUCGCCAUUUAAAGAGGUACGCGAGCUGGGUUUAGAACGUCGUGAGACAGUUCGGUCCCUAUCUACCGUGGGCGUUGGAAAUUUGAGAGGAUCUGCUCCUAGUACGAGAGGACCAGAGUGGACGAACCUCUGGUGUUUCGGUUGUGACGCCAGUCGCAUUGCCGAGUAGCUAUGUUCGGAUGGGAUAACCGCUGAAAGCAUCUAAGCGGGAAGCCCACCUUAAGAUUAGAUUUCCCUAAAGAGCCGUUGUAGACUACGACGUUGAUAGGUUGGGUGUGGAAGCAUAGUGAUAUGUGUAGCUAACCAAUACUAAUUGCUCGUUUGGCUUGACUAUACAACGCCUAA
rnacentral:rRNA from 1 species